rnacentral:rRNA from 1 species
CAGUAGCCGCGGUAAUACGGAGGGUGCAAGCGUUAAUUGGAAUUACUGGGCGUAAAGCGCACGCAGGCGGUUUGUUAAGUCAGAUGUGAAAUCCCCGAGCUUAACUUGGGAACUGCAUUUGAAACUGGCAAGCUAGAGUCUUGUAGAGGGGGGUAGAAUUCCAGGUGUAGCGGUGAAAUGCGUAGAGAUCUGGAGGAAUACCGGUGGCGAAGGCGGCCCCCUGGACAAAGACUGACGCUCAGGUGCGAAAGCGUGGGGAGCAAACAGGAUUAGAUACCCCGGUAGUCCCUGUCUCUUAUAC